rnacentral:rRNA from 1 species
GGAAUUUUGCGCAAUGGGCGAAAGCCUGACGCAGCCAUGCCGCGUGAGCGAUGAAGGCCUUAGGGUUGUAAAGCUCUUUCACCGGGGAAGAUAAUGACGGUACCCGGAGAAGAAGCCCCGGCUAACUCCGUGCCAGCAGCCGCGGUAAUACGGCGGGGGCUAGCGUUGUUCGGAAUUACUGGGCGUAAAGCGCGCGUAGGCGGGCUGUUAAGUCGGGGGUGAAAUCCCGGGGCUCAACCCCGGAACUGCCUUCGAUACUGGCAGCCUGGAGUCCGAGAGAGGUGAGUGGAAUUCCGAGUGUAGAGGUGAAAUUCGUAGAUAUUCGGAGGAACACCAGUGGCGAAGGCGGCUCACUGGCUCGGUACUGACGCUGAGGUGCGAAAGCGUGGGGAGCAAAC